rnacentral:rRNA from 1 species
CACGUAGGGGGCGAGCGUUGUCCGGAAUCAUUGGGCGUAAAGAGCUCGUAGGCGGCUCGGUAAGUCGGGUGUGAAACCCCCAGGCUCAACCUGGGGACGCCACCCGAUACUGCUGUGGCUAGAGUCCAGUAGGGGAGUGUGGAAUUCCCGGUGUAGCGGUGAAAUGCGCAGAUAUCGGGAGGAACACCAGCGGCGAAGGCGGCCAACUGGACGAAUACUGACGCUGAGACUCGAAAGCGUGGGGAGCAAACAGG